GUCGUCGUGAGGCGGGAUCUGAAGAAAGCAUGUAGCAAAGCCACGACCUGACGAACAGAAACCAGAUGUAGAUGUGAGGCCUACCCGGACGGACGAGCGAGCCGAUGAUCGCGAAGUCCAUAGCCAUCAAGGCCUGGGGUGGUAGAUCUGGCGAUACGGGCCUUACUGCUCGAAGG
rfam:Candidatus Burkholderia pumila strain TZHbot3 BPMIctg93, whole genome shotgun sequence.